rnacentral:rRNA from 1 species
AGCAGUCGCCGCGGUAAUACGUAGGUGGCAAGCGUUGUCCGGAAUUAUUGGGCGUAAAGGGUGCGUAGGCGGAUUCUUAAGUCAGGGGUGAAAUCCCGAGGCUCAACCUCGGAACUGCCUUUGAUACCGGGGAUCUUGAGUCCGGAAGAGGUGAGUGGAACUGCGAGUGUAGAGGUGAAAUUCGUAGAUAUUCGCAAGAACACCGGUGGCGAAGGCGGCUCACUGGUCCGGAACUGACGCUGAGGCACGACAGCGUGGGGAGCAAACAGGAUUAGAUACCCCGGUAGUCCCUGUCUCUUAUAC